rnacentral:rRNA from 1 species
UCUGACACGCCGACGCCAACUGGUGGAUGGCUAGGCUCUGGCGCUGAAGAAGGGCGCGGCAAGCAGCGAUAUGCUCCGGGUAGGCGCAUGCAGCCUUCGAUCCGGAGAUCCCCUAAUGGGACAUCCUAUCGGGGGUUAAUAGCUCCCGAUGUUCCGACGAGGAACGGGAACUCCCUGAACGAAAACAUUCUAGUAAGGGAAGGAGGAGAUACCAAUCGGUAUUCCCUCAGUAGGGGCGACCGAAAGGGGAACAGCCCAAACCGAACCCUUAGCGAAAGCGAAAGGGGAUGUGGGGUUAUGGGCCCUCCCGCUUCUUACCCAGCGAAGCCGAAGUAGUCUGAAAAGGCUCACCGUAGAGGGUGAUAGUCCCGUAAGCGUAUGUUGGGUUGAAUUGGGGAGGAGUCCCGGAGUACUACGUCUUGAUCCUGACGUGGGAAUUUGGGAGUCACCGACUUCCAAGGCUAAAUACGUCCAGAGUCCGAUAGGGCACUAGUACCGUGAGGGAAAGCUGAAAAGAACCCCGAGAGGGGGGUGAAAAGAGUCUGAAACCAGUUGGCUACUUGUGGCAUGGUAUGAAAGGAAAGAACCUCUCUGAAGGAACCUCCGGAAGGAGUAGUACGAAGAGAGGGGACCAGUAUCAUGCCUUCCGUUUCGGAGCACGGCCCAGGGAGUUCAUUGAGGUGGCGAGCUUAAGAGGGUCAACCUCGAAGGCUAAGGGAAACCGAUAGCCCGCAACCAUAGCCUCUUCGCGCUACGAUGCAGGAGGCAACUGUGAAUGCUGAAGAGCGUGAAUGUUAUGGCCAGGGGCAAGGUCUGAUGAGGGCCUGUACAGUCACCUCGAUGAGAACCCGAUACCGAGCGAUCUAGGCCUGAGCAGGAUGAAGUCGGGCGAAAGCUCGAUGGAGGUCCGCAGGGGUUCUGACGUGCAAUUCGUUCCUCUGACUUGGGCCUAGGGGCAAAAGACCAAUCAAGCUCGGUGGUAGCUGGUUCCUCCCGAAGUGGGUCCCAGCCCAGCCUGCCUGGAGGUUGCGAGUGGGGUAGAGCACCAAUCAGGGAGUCAUAAACCGAAAGGUUUAGCUUCCUCUUUGAACUCCGAACCUGCUCGCUCCGUAGAAGGGCGGAGACGGUUUCCGUGGGAAAAGCUCACGGGACGAGAGGGGAACACCCCAGACUGAGGUUAAGGCCCCAAAAUGCUGGCUGAGUGUUAACUCAAAAGGCGUCUUUGAUCGAAGACAGCUGGGAGGUAGGCUUAGAAGCAGUUACCCUUUAAAGAGUGCGUAACAGCUCACCAGCCGAGAUCAAAGGCCCUGAAGAUUUUCGGGGCUAAGUCAGCUGCCGAUACCUCAGAGCGUUCAUUUGUUAAUGAACGUUGGUAGGGAGGCGUUGCGGUCGGGCAGAAGCUGGUUCGAGAGGACCAGUGGACCGAUCGCAAGUGCGAAUCCUGGGGGAAGUAACAGCGUAGAAAGGUGAAAAUCCUUUCCGCCGUAAGGGCCAGGUUUCCUCGGCAACGCGUCGUCGACCGAGGGUCAGUCGGUCCUAAGGCAGCACAUAACCUGUAGCUGUCGAAUGGGAAACUGGUUAAUAUUCCAGUACCUUGGGGAUACGUUUGAGCCUGAUUCCUGCGCUUCGAGAUAUGCCGAGCGGGGCUGCCGCCCUGUCUAACUUUCCGAAGCCUGGGGAGAACCGUAAUGGUGAGAACCGGGCGAAGGAGGGAAUGGCCGGCCGUUAGGCUGGUUCGGCAGAUUCUUGGAGCCCAUGAAAAGGGAAUUAGGAAGGAUUCUCCAAGCCCGUACCGAGAACCGACACAGGUGCCCUAGAUGAGUAGUCUCAGGCGUGUCGGGAACACCCUAGGUCAGGGAACUCGGCAAAUUAGCCCCGUACCUUCGGUAUAAGGGGUGCCUGGGUCCCUAAGCGAAUGCUUGGGGGUCUAGGUCGCAGUGACAAGGGGGAAGCGACUGUUUAAUAAAAACAUAGAUCCCCGCAAGCCCGUAAGGGUGUGAACGGGGGUUGAAUCCUGGCCACUAGCGGUCCGUGAAAACCGGGUACAACCGGGCGAAGCGCCGCUGAAGGCCGGGAGUAACUCUGACUCUCUUAAGGUAGCCAAAUGCCUUGCCGGGUAAGUUCCGGCGUGCAUGAAUGGACCAACGACUUCCCCGCUGUCCCGACCUGGGGCCCGGUGAACCUACCUCUUGGUGAAAAGGCCAAGGACUUCCAACGUGAGGAGAAGACCCCGUGGAGCUUUACUGCAGCCUGUUGCUGGGAUAGGGUCAUGAUUGCAGAGCGUAGGUGGGAGCCGUUAAUCCCAGCCUCUCAGGGGGCUGGGGGAGGCGCCAAUGUAACACCACCCAUUCAUGGCUAUAUCUCUGACCAGGACGCAAGUCCUGGGACAACGGCAGGUGGGCAGUUCGGCUGGGGCGGCACGCCCUUGAAAAUGUAUCAAGGGC